rnacentral:rRNA from 1 species
UACAGAGGUCUCAAGCGUUGUUCGGAUUCAUUGGGCGUAAAGGGUGCGUAGGCGGCGGGGUAAGUCAGGUGUGAAAUCUCGGGGCUCGACUCCGAAACUGCAUUUGAUACUGCCUUGCUAGAGUACUGGAGAGGAGAGUGGAAUUUCCGGUGUAGCAGUGAAAUGCGUAGAUAUCGUAAGGAAGACCAGUGGCGAAGGCGAAUCUCUGGACAGUUACUGACGCUGAGGCACGAAGGCCAGGGGAGCAAACGGG